rnacentral:misc_RNA from 1 species
CAAAUAUUGGUGAAGUUGUUUGUAUUUUUGUUGCAGCUGUACUUGGAAUACCUGAUACCUUGGCUCCUGUCCAGUUGCUCUGGGUUAAUUUGGUUACCGAUGGAUUGCCUGCCACUGCAAUUGGUUUUAACAAGCAAGAUUCAGAUGUGAUGAAGGCUAAACCUCGCAAGGUGAAUGAAGCAGUUGUUAGUGGGUGGUUGUUUUUUCGCUAUUUGGUAAUUGGAGCCUAUGUUGGCCUUGCAACAGUUGCAGGUUUCGUAUGGUAGUUACUCUGACAGUGGUCCCAAACUACCAUACAAUGAAUUGAUGAAUUUUGACUCUUGCUCAACAAGGGAGACUACUUAUCCAUGCAGUAUAUUUGAGGAUAAACAUCCAUCAACCGUCUCCAUGACUGUGCUUGUCGUUGUUGAGAUGUUUAAUGCUUUGAACAAUCUCAGCGAAAAUCAAUCACUUUUUGUUGUCCCUCCCUGGAGUAAUUUAUGGCUUGUUGGUUCCAUCAUCCUGACUAUGAUGUUUCACAUGCUAAUUUUGUAUGUGCAUCCCCUUUCUGUUCUCUUCUCUGUAACACCGUUAUCUUGGGCUGAGUGGACUGUUGUUCUAUAUCUUUCAUUCCCUGUUAUAAUUAUUGAUGAAAUCCUGAAGUUCUUCUCAAGAAAUUCCAAUGGCAUAAGGUUGAGAUUCAGAUUCAGAAGGCCUGAUUUACUUCCAAAGAGGGAAUUGCGGGACAAGUAAGAAGGAAGCCUUGUGUGAUUGAAUUUUUCGCGGACACUCAAACACUUAAAAGACACAAGAUAAAUACAUCAAUGGAUAACAAACUUCGAUUUAUCUGCAAGAUGGAAGUUAUCUGAGGUACCCUGCACAAAUUCUGAUUUCACUUAAAUUAAUUGCCUACCUCGUUAUAGGUGCCAUACGAUGUUGUAUGAUGAAGCCAAGACGCCUGGUUAUGCUGGAAGUUUUUGCCAUCAUUCUUUUGUUUUAUAUUGACCUCAAAAAU